rnacentral:rRNA from 1 species
GAAAGAUUAAAAGGAGUAAAAGGAACUCGGCAAACACAAACCCCGCCUGUUUACCAAAAACAUCACCUCCAGCAUUUCUAGUAUUGGAGGCACUGCCUGCCCGGUGACACUUGUUUAACGGCCGCGGUAUCCUGACCGUGCAAAGGUAGCAUAAUCAUUUGUUCUCUAAAUAGGGACUUGUAUGAAUGGCCACACGAGGGUUUAACUGUCUCUUACUCCCAAUCAGUGAAAUUGACCUUCCCGUGAAGAGGCGGGAAUACCACAAUAAGACGAGAAGACCCUAUGGAGCUUUAAUUAACUAACCCAAACUUAUGGAUACUAGAUACCUACAAGGCAUAACAUAACACCAUUAUUAUGGGUUAGCAAUUUAGGUUGGGGUGACCUCGGAAUAUAAAAAAACUCCCGAGUGAUUAAAAUUUAGACCCACAAGUCAAAAUACAACAUCACUUAUUGAUCCAAUAAUUUUUGAUCAACGGAACAAGUUACCCUAGGGAUAACAGCGCAAUCCUAUUCAAGAGUCCAUAUCGACAAUAGGGUUUACGACCUCGAUGUUGGAUCAGGACAUCCUAAUGGUGCAGCAGCUAUUAAGGGUUCGUUUGUUCAACGAUUAAAGUCCUACGUGAUCUGAGUUCAGACCGGAGUAAUCCAGGUCGGUUUCUAUCUAUUAUACAACCUCCCCCAGUACGAAAGGACAAGGGAUGUAAGGCCUACCUCACAGAGGCGCCUUAAAACUAAUAGAUGAAGUCAACUCAAUCUAACCAGUUUAUCUCCUCAUAAGCCCGAGAAAAGGGGCUUU